AGCAAGGGAUGUCAAUUGCAAAGGUAAGAUCCACCUUAGAAAAAUCAAAUAACAAAUACUGUAACUCUUAGCUUCUGUGUCUCCAGAACAAACAAGAUUUGCUACUCAUUAGAGGGAAACGUACUGUGAGCAGCCUGACUGGUUCAAUGUCUGGAUCUAUGAUUACAGAAGAUGUGGGCCAUAUCUGUCUUACUACAUCCAUUUUUGAACUUCCAAAUGCAGGAAGAUGUUGAUAAACUCUACCAAGUGCUGCAGAACACCACCGAGAGCGGAUGAUAUCACAGACCUUCCUACCAACUUGGUGUAGUCUGGCAAAUCCCUUCAUCCAGAUUAUUGAGAAAGGUAUUAAGGAAGACUGGUCCUGACACUGACCCCUGGGGAACACCAUUCGUGACUGGUCACCUGCUGGAUUUUACUCCAUUCACCACCUCUCU